AUUUGACCUGAGUUCAGACGAGACUACCCGCCGAACUUAAGCAUAUCAAUAAGCGGAGGAAAAGAAACUAACUAGGAUUCCCUUAGUAACGGCGAGUGAAACGGGAUAAGCCCAACUUGAAAAUCUACAGGCUUUGUCUGUCGAAUUGUAGUCUAUAGAAGCAACCUCUGAGGCGGACCUGGAUUAAGUUCCCUGGAAGGGGACGUCAGAGAGGGUGAGAACCCCGUCAUCCUUGGUCUUAGCCUCUUCACGAGAUGCUUUCGCAGAGUCGGGUUGGUUGAGAAUCCAGCCCUAAUUGGGAGGUACAUCCCUUCUAAGGCUAAAUACCGGUAGGAGACCGAUAGCGAACAAGUACCGCGAGGGAAAGAUGAAAAGGCCUUUGAAAAGAGAGUUAAAAAGUGCUUGAAAUUGUUGAGGGGGAAGUGUAUUAGAGGCGUGGGUGCUUCUAGGCUGUAUGUAGGCUCUAACCGGCCUGCCCCUCAGUGCUAGAAGCUGGUCAGCAUGGUUUAGCUUAGCGGGAUAAAAGCAGAGGUUGUUACUUUGCCUAUGCCGCUUCGCUGAUCGAGGUCUAAGAGCGCUUUGCCCUUCGGGAGCUGCGUUCUCAUGAUGCUGGCGGAAGCCCCUAAUACAGCCCGUCUUGAAACACGGACCAAGGAGUCUAACAUGUAUGCGAGUUGGUGGGUGGAAAACCCAUGAAGCGUAAGGAAACUAACUGGUGGGAUGGCCUGUGCCUGCACCAUCGACCGACCAUGAUCUUCUGUGAAAGGUUUGAGUACGAGCAUACCUGUUGGGACCCGAAAGAUGGUGAACUAUGCCUGAGCAGGGCGAAGCCAGAGGAAACUCUGGUGGAGGCUCGUAGAUGUGCUGACGUGCAAAUCGCUUUUCGGACUUGGGUAUAGGGGCGAAAGACUAAUCGAACCAUCUAGUAGCUGGUUCCCUCCGAAGUUUCCCCCAGGAUAGCUGGAGCUCUAACAGUUUUAUCAGGUAAAGCGAAUGAUUAGACGAUUAGGGGACGAAACGUCCUCGUCGUAUUCUCAAACUUUAAAUAGGUAAGAUGUCUGAAUUGCUUAAUUGAAUUCAGGCGAUCAAUGUGAGUUCCAUGUGGGCCAUUUUUGGUAAGCAGAACUGGCGAUGCGGGAUAAACCGAAAGCUGAGUUAAAGUGCCCAACUGCACGCUAACCUAGAUCCCACAAAGGGUGUUGAUUGAUAUGGACAGCAGGACGGUGGUCAUGGAAGUC
rnacentral:rRNA from 1 species